CCCAGGCGCCGCCGCCGCCGCCGUGGCCACCAAGUGCGCAUGCGUGGGUUGGAACGCGCCGUCCUGAGGGCUGAUCCAGGCGCGGAUAAGGAGCCUCCACGCCCGCGGAAGGUACGCUGCGUCCGCGUCCUUAUUGGCAGCCGUUUCCAUUCUUAAAACCUUCACGACCGUCGCUUUCAUAGGGAGCUUGUCUUCCGUGACACCAUCAAUCUGGAGCAAGACUUCUGGGUCCGAAGACAACGUCUCUGCGGACAAAAAGAAAACUGUUUAAAACAGGCUGACGUUCACGUGAAAAAAAAACAGGUAUUAAUAACACAGGGAAGGUACGGUCCUCAGGCAAAGCUGCAUAGAAUUGUAUAUACAGCACAACCAACACUGAACUGGACCUGUCAACAGAUCGGCAGCCAUUGGAAGAACAGAGCCCAAGAAACGUCAAGGUGUUGACGCAACAUGAUGGUAGAACCUUGUAUUUUUCAUGAUAUUUUAUCCUCCUGCUUACAGUGUUCUUUCUACAAAAGCAAUAUAUUUAUCUUGAAAGAGACCGACAUAUGAAAUAAAAUGCAAAAAGGGAUAAAUGAAAA